GUCCUAGCUGUAAACGGUGCACGUUUGCUGUAAAAGGAAUCGACCCCUUUUGUGGCGAAGCUAACGCGUUAAACGUGCCGCCUGGGAAGUACGGUCGCAAGAUUAAAACUCAAAGAAAUUGACGGGGGCCUGCACAAGCGGUGGAGUAUGUGGCUUAAUUCGAUGCAACGCGAAGAACCUUACCUGGCCUUGACAUGCAUAUAGUAGAAGCCUGAAAGUGUGACGAGGUAGCAAUACCAGUAUGCACAGGUGCUGCAUGGCUGUCGU
rnacentral:rRNA from 1 species